rnacentral:lncRNA from 1 species
AUGCUGACUGUGGCCAGAACCAGACCCGGGACGCGUCCCAGAAGGAACAGAGCCCCCAGGGGUCUGCACAGGGCCAGGGCUGAGAGCUGUCUCAAGACGUUUGUGUGUCCGUGGUCGUGGGGUCUGUGGCUCUGGGGCUGCCCCUUGUCGCUGCUGGGGAGGUGGCCAGUGUUAGGUCGCCACAGGGAGGAGCUCCAGGCCACAGCAAUGUGGACCCCAAGGCGAUCCCCUCCGGCCAUGCCCCACGCCGCGCCCCUAGACAGCCUCAGCCUUUCCUUGCCUCCCAGAGAGGCGUCCGCUGCAUGCCCUCUGGCCAGGCCCCUGUUGGCAUCAGCUUUGCACCGGGGGUGGCACGCUCCCCUGAUCCUGUCCCCAGCCCCAUGCAGCCCCUUCCUCCCCGUGCACCUGCUCAGUUUAUGCACCUGCCUCUUGGCUGUCAUUUCGUGUCUGCCUUCUGCCCGACCCGUCUCCAAGGCUCCUGAAUCUGAGCUUCGUUCCUUGUUGGGGCUGAGAACGACGCCCCUGGAUGGCUGGGCCUCGUCCUGUCCUGUUCAUCCGCACAUCAGCGGGGUGCUCCUGCCCACUGGCCGCAGUGACUGUGAACACCCGCACUCGUUCUUGCUGAGACCCAUUUCACUGUCGGGUGUGCACGCGGGAGCGGGCAGCUGGCUUCCCUUAGGAGCCGUGGGGCACUUGUCAUCUGUUUACACCCCUGCGUCAUCUGCCACUGGGGAGGUUGUGCCCAUAGUGGGUGAGGGUUGGGCACAUGCUGUGGCCUCCAGGGUGGAGCAGAGGGGCCCAGCACCCCCACCCUCCACCCCCCACCCCUGCCUGUGUCUGUCAUUCAAAAGCAUGAACCCAUCUAACGUCUCUGCCUCUGCUUCUGCAGUUCCCUGCGUUCUCCCUGGUCCUACAGGGGCCCCUGCCGUGCUCUGGAGGCUGUGCGUUCCAGAGGUCUACAGGCCUGUCUUGGUCCAGGCCUGGGGCGGGGGCUCCCACGAAGGCCCAGUGGGCAGGUCCUGGGGGGUGAGUAUCUGCGACCCUGUCCUGGGUUCGUCCAGGAUUGCCCAGGUGUGGACUCAGCAGUGA